rnacentral:rRNA from 1 species
GACGAACGCUGGCGGCGUGCCUAAUACAUGCAAGUCGAACGAGAGCGACCGGUGCUUGCACUGGUCAAUCUAGUGGCGAACGGGUGAGUAACACGUGGGUAACCUGCCCAUCAGAGGGGGAUAACAUCCGGAAACGGAUGCUAAAACCGCAUAGGUCUUCGAGCCGCAUGGCUUGAAGAGGAAAAGAGGCGCAAGCUUCUGCUGAUGGAUGGACCCGCGGUGCAUUAGCUAGUUGGUGAGGUAACGGCUCACCAAGGCCGUGAUGCAUAGCCGACCUGAGAGGGUGAUCGGCCACAGUGGGACUGAGACACGGCACAAACUCCUACGGGAGGCAGCAGUAGGGAAUCUUCCGCAAUGGACGCAAGUCUGACGGAGCAACGCCGCGUGAGUGAAGAAGGUUUUCGGAUCGUAAAACUCUGUUGUUAGAGAAGAACAAGUGCUAGAGUAACUGUUAGCGCCUUGACGGUAUCUAACCAGAAAGCCACGGCUAACUACGUG